AUUGAACGCUGGCGGCAGGCCUAACACAUGCAAGUCGAACGAGUGGCGGACGGGUGAGUAAUGUCUGGGAACCUGCCUGAUGGAGGGGGAUAACUACUGGAAACGGUAGCUAAUACCGCAUACCAUCGGAUGUGCCCAGAUUGGAUUAGCUAGUAGGUGGGGUAAAGGCUCACCUAGGCGACGAUCCCUAGCUGGUCUGAGAGGAUGACCAGCCACACUGGAACUGAGACACGGUCCAGACUCCUACGGGAGGCAGCAGUGGGGAAUCUUGCACAAUGGGCGAAAGCCUGAUGCAGCAAUGCCGCGUGUAUGAAGAAGGCCUUCGGGUUGUAAAGUACUUUCAGCGGGGAGGCGUUACCCGCAGAGAAAGCACCGGCUAACUCCGUGCCAGCAGCCGCGGUAAUAC
rnacentral:rRNA from 1 species